ACUAAUCAAAAAUCGAUUUGGUUUGGAAUCUUGAGGUGUCUAUUCUGAUUCCUAAGUAAUAAUUAUAUAUUUUGUUGUGUUCAAAUAGGAUAAUCCUAAAGUCAGCAAGUUCCGCAAGAAGGCUUUUCCUUUAUUUACCAGCUUGGAAUCAUUGUAUGAAGGAAGUAUUGCCGCAGGGGAUUCUAAUUUUACAUCAAGUCAAUCUGCACCUCAAAGAACUGAGCAGCGAGUUGAACCUACACCUCAGAGAACUGAGCAGCGAGUUGAACCAACACCUCAAAGAAUUGAGCAACGAGUUGAACCUACACCUCAGAGAACUGAGUAGCAAGUUGAACCUACACCUCAGAGAAGUAUCUCAGAGCAAAGCACCCAUAACACAACACCUAGUAGAAAUCCAUUCAAUUCUGGUCUUGAUGGCAUCGAGAGCACUGAAGUUCAAUCUGCUGCUACAAAUCAAACUUCAAAGGAUGUAGAAGGUUUCAAUGGCAAGAAACGUAAGAAAAGUCAAAUGGCAGCAAGACUUGGAGACUACAUUGAUUUCGGGAAAGACCAGAUUGAAAAAACUAUGAAGGAGCUCAAUGAGAAGAAGAAACGUGAAAUGACUAUUCUGUUCAGAAGUGCAUUCACAUUGUGGACAUCAUAGAAGAACUAACUGAUGAGCAGAAGGUAGAUUGCAAUGAGCUAUUCCAAUCUGAAAUGAACAGGCAAAUCUUUGUGGGUACAAAAAUCUCUAACGUCAGGCUUAUUUGGUUGAAGAGAAAAAUUUCUCAGAGUAGCAGACCUAGCUUUGGCCAUGGUGGCGGCAGUGCUUUUGGUGCUGGGGCAUCUUCCAUGGAGUGAUAAUUCAGUUAGCCAGCACAUUGAUUUGAUGGUAUGGUACUGCAGAAUUAGCCCUUGCUUUGUUUGAUUUAGUCUCUCUCUAGUUGAGUUC